rnacentral:rRNA from 1 species
AACGUAGGACGCAAGCGUUAUCCGGAGUUACUGGGCGUAAAGCGCGGGCAGGCGGUGAUUUAAGUCUGAUGUGAAAGCUCCCGGCUCAACCGGGAGAGGCCAUUGGAAACUAGAUCGCUGGAGGGCAGUAGAGGUAGGCGGAAUUCCGGGUGGAGUGGUGAAAUGCGUAGAGAUCCGGAGGAACACCAGAGGCGAAGGCGGCCUACUGGGCUGCACCUGACGCUGAGCCGCGAAAGCCAGGGGAGCGAACGGG